rnacentral:lncRNA from 1 species
AGCAAUACUUUCCAUACUCAAAGAGACAACAGCAAGUGUUGCUCUCAGGACAAGUGUAGUAACUGUCACAUUGAGUUGGAGGCUUGAUAGGGGAUGGAGGUGAAGGUCCCGGGUUUGGCGGGUUUUCGCCAUUCUUGACCGGGUAUGAAGGUUCAAUUGCGAUACCACAUUUACCUGCCGAAGAGGCGAUGUUACGCUCCAUCUUUAAGUAUCCACUCUCUCCCCAGCUUUUACCCCAUGAGUUUCUCACAAUCC